UUUUAUGAACAAAUGCCCUCUUAUUAUAAAACGCGGUAUCAAAUAAGUAUCGGCUUUUGUACUACCUUUAAUCCACCUUUAAGUACGACCUUGAAAAAACGUUAUUACAAAACGCAGUUUAUCGCAAGUCCUAUUACUAUCUGUAGUACAAAAGAUAAACCAUCGAGCCCCCUAGUUUAACUGCAGUACUUAGUCGACAAACGUCAAAUUCCGACAUUAUUUACUUUUGAGGUUAUUUGUUUUGUGAUGAAAAAAACGAAAGUGGAUAUAAAUAUGUGUGAUUUGGAAUACUUGGAUGUGUUAGAAUACUAUUGAGAGUGUCCGGGGACCCAACAGAAUGCGUCAUCGACAAAAUCUCUUCAAAUUACCUGACGACAAUUUUCGAUAUAAAUAUCGAUUUACGUUUUUCGAAAUAUUAGUCAAUUGAAUGCAUGAUGAUAAUCCAGGAUGAUCCUAUGAUGCUCAACUGGGCUCGCCAUAAAAUUCAAGACUAUUUUGGCGUUUUGCACGCCGUAUCUGUGCCAGUAAUAUGCAAUGUUUGUAAAAGACUAAGCUUGCUAAAAUGUACAAAAAUGCCUAGAUGAGAAAGGAAACUAGAUUGUGUGAUGAAGAACAGUGUCCAACAUGUAUCAGUGCAUUUGACUAUAUAAAUAGACAUCGGAAUAAAAUAUAAUUUUCUA
rnacentral:lncRNA from 1 species